CGAACGUAGGUAACCUGCCCAUGUGUCCGGGAUAACUGCUGAAAACGGUAGCUAAAACCGGAUAGGUAUACAGAGCGCAUGCUCAGUAUAUUAAAGCGCCCAUCAAGGCGUGAACAUGGAUGGACCUGCGGCGCAUUAGCUAGUUGGUGAGGUAACGGCCCACCAAGGCGAUGAUGCGUAGCCGGCCUGAGAGGGUAAACGGCCACAUUGGGACUGAGACACGGCCCAA
rnacentral:rRNA from 1 species